rnacentral:rRNA from 1 species
CCUACGGGAGGCAGCAGUGAGGAAUAUUGGUCAAUGGUCGGGAGACUGAACCAGCCAAGCCGCGUGAGGGAUGAAGGUACAGAGUAUCGUAAACCUCUUUUGUCAGGGAACAAAGGCGGGGACGUGUCCCCGGAUGAGUGUACCUGAAGAAAAAGCAUCGGCUAACUCCGUGCCAGCAGCCGCGGUAAUACGGAGGAUGCGAGCGUUAUCCGGAUUUAUUGGGUUUAAAGGGUGGGCAGGCGGUCUGUUAAGUCAGCGGUCAAAGCCCGGGGCUCAACCCCGGCCCGCCGUUGAAACUGGCAGUCGCGAGUUGGAGAGAAGUAUGCGGAAUGCGCGGUGUAGCGGUGAAAUGCAUAGAUAUCGCGCAGAACUCCGAUUGCGAAGGCAGCAUGCCGGCUCCACACUGACGCUGAGGCACGAAAGCGUGGGUAUCGAACAGGAUUAGAUACCCGUGUAGUC